ACAUCCAGAGAAUUUAGCAGAGAUGCUUUAGUGCCUUCGGGAACUCUGAGACAGGUGCUGCAUGGCUGUCGUCAGCUCGUGUUGUGAAAUGUUGGGUUAAGUCCCGNAACGAGCGCAACCCUUAUCCCUUUGUUGCCAGCACGUAAUGGUGGGAACUCAAAGGAGACUGCCGGUGAUAAACCGGAGGAAGGCGGGGAUGACGUCAAGUCAUCAUGGCCCUUACGAGUAGGGCUACACACGUGCUACAAUGGCGCAUACAAAGAGAAGCGACCUCGCGAGAGCAAGCGGACCUCAUAAAGUGCGUCGUAGUCCGGAUUGGAGUCUGCAACUCGACUCCAUGAAGUCGGAAUCGCUAGUAAUCGUAAAUCAGAAUGUUACGGUGAAUACGUUCCCGGGCCUUGUACACACCGCCCGUCACACCAUGGGAGUGGGUUGCAAAAGAAGUAGAUAGCUUAACCUUCGGGAGGGCGUUUACCACUUUGUGAUUCAUGACUGGGGUGAAGUCGUAACAAGGUAAGCGUAGUGCU
rnacentral:rRNA from 1 species